GCGGGCGUGGCGGAACUGGUAGACGCAGGGGACUCAAAAUCCCCCGUGCGAGAGCACUUGUCGGUUCGAGUCCGACCGCCCGUACCA
rnacentral:tRNA from 1 species